CCUUAGAGGGAGACCCGAUGAAAGUCUCAACAGCCAAAAACUAAACAAAUCGCUGUCGAGACAUUCAGUAUCCCGAGGUCGUAACAAGGGAAAAAAGAAAGAGAAGUAUCAAGGCCUUUCAAACUCUGUCAACGGAACUGGUCAAACAACGGGCUAUUAGCUCAGGUGGUUAGAGCGCACCCCUGAUAAGGGUGAGGUCCCUGGUUCGAAAGUCCAGGAUAGCCCAGACGUCCGAACCAGGCGAAAAAAGUCUACCCAAAAGAUUGACAAGUCGAAUCGAAUCAUGGUAGAUUUGACAUCCUGCCCAGAAAAGAAAAGCGAGUUCAGCACCCUAUAUCUGAGUGACUCAGAGAGAAUGCUGGAUUUGUGAAAAAAGUCCAGAAACCUUGAAAACUGCAUAGAGAAGCGAAAGUAUGACGGUAGUCAGUAGUCAGGUCUGAACAGUUACCAGGAAUCAAAGAUUGAUAGCUGGUAACAGAGAACUGAAGACUGAACAGACACGAAAGUGUAAAGAA
rnacentral:tRNA from 1 species